rnacentral:rRNA from 1 species
GAUGAACGCUAGCGGCAGGCCUAAUACAUGCAAGUCGAACGGGCGGUAGCAAUACCGCUAGUGGCGCACGGGUGCGUAACGCGUAACCAACCUGCCCAGAUCUGGGGGAUAGCCCGCCGAAAGGCGGAUUAAUACCGCAUAAACCCACAGUGUGGCAUCACAUAAUGGGUAAAGAUUUAUCGGAUCUGGAUGGGGUUGCGUAGCAUUAGCUAGUUGGCGGGGUAAUGGCCCACCAAGGCGACGAUGCUUAGGGGACCUGAGAGGGUGAUCCCCCACACUGGAACUGAGAUACGGGCCAGACUCCUACGGGAGGCAGCAGUAGGGAAUAUUGGGCAAUGGGCGAGAGCCUGACCCAGCCAUGCCGCGUGCCGGAUGAAGGCCUUCUGGGUUGUAAACGGCUUUUCUCAGGGAAGAAAACGGGGAUGCGUCCUCAACUGACGGUACCUGAGGAAUAAGCACCGGCUAACUCCGUG